rnacentral:misc_RNA from 1 species
AAAUUCUCAAUCUUUAUAUUCUUGUUAAAAGUGAAGAUUGGACUUGAUGGGGGUGUGCUGGCUAUUCACUGCCGGCUCUCCUGAAAUGCAUUAGCAAGAUCCUAAGUGAUCAUUGUUGGUAUGGUAAUUUUAUCGAUAUCACCAGUGAAUCGAAUCCUCUUGAGGGAACGUAUCUUGCUUUGUGAAAAGUGCCAUGCACUAAUCUUUUAUU